AUAAAAAACUAAAAACCUUUAUUGGUGUGUUCUCAAUACCUGUUCAGGACAGGCUGAGUCGAAACACUUCAGGCAGCAGCAGUAAAAUGGUGAUUUACAUCACCAAACUGAGAAUGAACUUUGCUUUCUUUCCUCUUGCAGGUCCUCCAGAGUCGUGGGGCUGUUGGCUCCCUCUCCAAGAGAUGUCCCAACUCGGCUUGUGCUCAGUGUUUCCACACUCAUGGAGCUCUAGGAAAUGGAGUCAAUCUAUAGAGGGUCAGGCUGGCUUCAUGCUGGGGCAUCACUUGGAGUGAGAACCAGUGCUCUGCCACUUUAGGAGACCUGAAAUGGGGGGAAAAAAGUAAGUUUAAGUUAUGGUUUUUUUAUGGACACUUCUGAAACUCCUUUUAUCUGUUUUUGAGUCAUUUCAAAAAACCAACAACUGUGCUUGUGGUUUAAAAAUGGUAAAUUAUGUAAGGUUUUUUCCCAUACUCUGUGUCUGCUCUGAAUCACAUGUUUGUUUGUUGUGCUACAGGAUUGCAGUGUCUGUGCUUCAGCUGUACAGGAAAU